rnacentral:rRNA from 1 species
GACGAACGCUGGCGGCGUGCUUAACACAUGCAUGUCGAACGGAAAGGCCCUGCUUGCAGGGUACUCGAGUGGCGAACGGGUGAGUAACACGUGGGUGAUCUGCCCUGCACUUCGGGAUAAGCCUGGGAAACUGGGUCUAAUACCGGAUAGGAGCCAUUUUUAGUGUGAUGGUUGGAAAGUUUUUUCGGUGUAGGAUGAGCUCGCGGCCUAUCAGCUUGUUGGUGGGGUAAUGGCCUACCAAGGCGGCGACGGGUAGCCGGCCUGAGAGGGUGGACGGCCACAUUGGGACUGAGAUACGGCCCAGACUCCUACGGGAGGCAGCAGUGGGGAAGAUUGCACAAUGGGCGCAAGCCUGAUGCAGCGACGCCGCGUGGGGGAUGACGGCCUUCGGGUUGUAAACUCCUUUCGCUAGGGACGAAGCUUUUUGUGACGGUACCUAGAUAAGAAGCACCGGCUAACUACGUG